GGGGAUGUGGUGUAGCUUGGUUUAACACACUGCCCUGUCAAGGCAGAGAACGCGGGUUCAAAUCCCGUCGUCCCCG
rnacentral:tRNA from 1 species